UACGUAGGGCGCAAGCGUUGUCCGGAAUUAUUGGGCGUAAAGAGCUCGUAGGCGGCUUGUCGCGUCGUCUGUGAAAUCCCGAGGCUCAACCUCGGGUCUGCAGUCGAUACGGGCGGACUGGAGUUCGGCAGGGGAGACUGGAAUUCCUGGUGUAGCGGUGAAAUGCGCAGAUAUCAGGAGGAACACCGGUGGCGAAGGCGGGUCUCUGGGCCGAUACUGACGCUGAGGAGCGAAAGCGUGGGGAGCGAACAGG
rnacentral:rRNA from 1 species